GUAAAUAUGGGCCUGAUCCAAAGCCCAUUGAAAGUAAUGGGAGUUUUUCCACUAAUUUCAAUAGGCUUUGAAUCAGGCCAUACAGGC
rnacentral:pre_miRNA from 1 species